rnacentral:rRNA from 1 species
UACGGGGGGGGGCAAGCGUUGUUCGGAAUUACUGGGCGUAAAGGGCUCGUAGGCGGCCAACUAAGUCAGACGUGAAAUCCCUCGGCUUAACCGGGGAACUGCGUCUGAUACUGGAUGGCUUGAGUUUGGGAGAGGGAUGCGGAAUUCCAGGUGUAGCGGUGAAAUGCGCAGAUAUCAGGAGGAACACCGGUGGCGAAGGCGGGUCUCUGGGCCGAUACUGACGCUGAGGAGCGAAAGCGUGGGGAGCGAACAGG